UUUUGAGGCAAGAAACACUGGUGAAUAGAUACCAUGGAAUUCUUGAGGGGGAACUUGCAUGAUGACUUCUUGCCUUAAGAAUAUCCUGAUGCACUCCCUCAUUGAAUUUUCUUUUGAUCCCACUUACUAUUUGACUAUGGUGGACUUUUCAGUUUCUUUUCUUUGAAAUUGAAAAAAUAUCCUUUUUCUGUUACAGAAAUAACCCC